rnacentral:rRNA from 1 species
GACGAACGCUGGCGGCGUGCUUAACACAUGCAAGUCGAACGGAAAGGCCCUGCUUUUGUUGGGUGCUCGAGUGGCGAACGGGUGAGUAACACGUGAGUAACCUGCCCUUGACUUUGGGAUAACGUCAGGAAACUGGGGCUAAUACCGGAUAGGAGCUCCUGCUGCAUGGUGGGGGUUGGAAAGUUUCGGCGGUUGGGGAUGGACUCGCGGCUUAUCAGCUUGUUGGUGGGGUAGUGGCUUACCAAGGCUUUGACGGGUAGCCGGCCUGAGAGGGUGACCGGCCACAUUGGGACUGAGAUACGGCCCAGACUCCUACGGGAGGCAGCAGUGGGGAAUAUUGCACAAUGGGCGGAAGCCUGAUGCAGCAACGCCGCGUGCGGGAUGACGGCCUUCGCGUUGUAAACCGCUUUCGCCUGUGACGAAGCGUGAGUGACGGUAAUGGGUAAAGAAGCACCGGCUAACUACGUG